AUUGAACGCUGGCGGCAGGCCUAACACAUGCAAGUCGAGCGGGGCGGCGGACGGGUGCGUGAUGCCUAGGAAUCUGCCUGGUAGUGGUGGAUAACGUUCGGAACCGGGCGCUAAUACCGCAUACUCUCAGAUGAGCCUAGGUCGGAGUAGCUAGUGGGUGGGGUAAAGGCCUACCAAGGCGACGAUCCGUAACUGGUCUGAGAGGAUGAUCAGUCACACUGGAACGGAGACACGGUCCAGACUCCUACGGGAGGCAGCAGUGGGGAAUAUUGGACAAUGGGCGAAAGCCUGAUCCAGCCAUGCCGCGUGUGUGAAGAAGGUCUUCGGAUUGUAAAGUACUUUAAGCUGGGAGGCGGUACCAACAGAAUAAGCACCGGCUAACUACGUGCCAGCAGCCGCGGUAAUUC
rnacentral:rRNA from 1 species